rnacentral:rRNA from 1 species
GACGAACGCUGGCGGCGUGCUUAACACAUGCAAGUCGAGCGGUAAGGCCCUUUCGGGGGUACACGAGCGGCGAACGGGUGAGUAACACGUGGGUGACCUGCCCUCAGCUCUGGGAUAAGCCUGGGAAACCGGGUCUAAUACCGGAUAUGACUCCAUGACGCAUGUUGUGGGGUGGAAAGCCUUGUGCGGCUGAGGAUGGGCCCGCGGCCUAUCAGCUUGUUGGUGGGGUGAUGGCCUACCAAGGCGACGACGGGUAGCCGGCCUGAGAGGAUGGCCAGCCACAUUGGGACUGCGAGACGGCCCAGACUCCUACGGGAGGCAGCAGUGGGGAAUCUUGCGCAAUGGGCGGAAGCCUGACGCAGCGACGCCGCGUGGAGGAGGAAGCCC